rnacentral:rRNA from 1 species
GACGGAGGAUGCAAGUGUUAUCCGGAAUCACUGGGCGUAAAGCGUCUGUAGGUGGUUUAAUAAGUCAACUGUUAAAUCUUGAGGCUCAACUUCAAAAUCGCAGUCGAAACUAUUAGACUAGAGUAUAGUAGGGGUAAAGGGAAUUUCCAGUGGAGCGGUGAAAUGCGUAGAGAUUGGAAAGAACACCAAUGGCGAAAGCACUUUACUGGACUAUCACUGACACUGAGAGACGAAAGCUAGGGUAGCAAAUGGG